rnacentral:rRNA from 1 species
GACGAACGCUGGCGGCGUGCCUAAUACAUGCAAGUUGAGCGCUGAAGGUUGGUACUUGUACCAACUGGAUGAGCAGCGAACGGGUGAGUAACGCGUGGGGAAUCUGCCUUUGAGCGGGGGACAACAUUUGGAAACGAGUGCUAAUACCGCAUAAAAACUUUAAACACAAGUUUUAAGUUUGAAAGAUGCAAUUGCAUCACUCAAAGAUGAUCCCGCGUUGUAUUAGCUAGUUGGUGAGGUAAAGGCUCACCAAGGCGAUGAUACAUAGCCGACCUGAGAGGGUGAUCGGCCACAUUGGGACUGAGACACGGCCCAAACUCCUACGGGAGGCAGCAGUAGGGAAUCUUCGGCAAUGGACGAAAGUUUGACCGAGCAACGCCGCGUGAGUGAAGAAGGUUUUCGGAUCGUAAAACUCUGUUGGUAGAGAAGAACGUUGGUGAGAGUGGAAAGCUCAUCAAGUGACGGUAACUACCCAGAAAGGGACGGCUAACUACGUG